rnacentral:rRNA from 1 species
AUUGAACGCUGGCGGCAGGCCUAACACAUGCAAGUCGAGCGGAGGAAGGGAGCUUGCUCCUGGAUUCAGCGGCGGACGGGUGAGUAAUGCCUAGGAAUCUGCCUGGUAGUGGGGGAUAACGUCCGGAAACGGGCGCUAAUACCGAAUACGUCCUGAGGGAGAAAGUGGGGGAUCUUCGGACCUCACGCUAUCAGAUGAGCCUAGGUCGGAUUAGCUAGUUGGUGGGGUAAAGGCCUACCAAGGCGACGAUCCGUAACUGGUCUGAGAGGAUGAUCAGUCACACUGGAACUGAGACACGGUCCAGACUCCUACGGGAGGCAGCAGUGGGGAAUAUUGGACAAUGGGCGAAAGCCUGAUCCAGCCAUGCCGCGUGUGUGAAGAAGGUCUUCGGAUUGUAAAGCACUUUAAGUUGGGAGGAAGGGCAGUAAGUUAAUACCUUGCUGUUUUGACGGUACCAACAGAAUAAGCACCGGCUAACUUCGUG